AUGAUUAAAGAUAGCUUGCUAUUUUUAUGAAGAGCGGCGAACGGGUGAGUAACGCGUGGGAAAUCUGCCGAGUAGCGGGGGACAACGUUUGGAAACGAACGCUAAUACCGCAUAACAAUGAGAAUCGCAUGAUUCUUAUUUAAAAGAAGCAAUUGCUUCACUACUUGAUGAUCCCGCGUUGUAUUAGCUAGUUGGUAGUGUAAAGGACUACCAAGGCGAUGAUACAUAGCCGACCUGAGAGGGUGAUCGGCCACACUGGGACUGAGACACGGCCCAGACUCCUACGGGAGGCAGCAGUAGGGAAUCUUCGGCAAUGGGGGCAACCCUGACCGAGCAACGCCGCGUGAGUGAAGAAGGUUUUCGGAUCGUAAAACUCUGUUGUUAGAGAAGAACGUUAAGUAGAGUGGAAAAUUA
rnacentral:rRNA from 1 species